GCCCAUAAGACUGGGAUAACUCCGGGAAACCGGGGCUAAUACCGGAUAACAUUUUGAACCGCAUGGUUCGAAAUUGAAAGGCGGCUUCGGCUGUCACUUAUGGAUGGACCCGCGUCGCAUUAGCUAGUUGGUGAGGUAACGGCUCACCAAGGCAACGAUGCGUAGCCGACCUGAGAGGGUGAUCGGCCACACUGGGACUGAGACACGGCCCAGACUCCUACGGGAGGCAGCAGUAGGGAAUCUUCCGCAAUGGACGAAAGUCUGACGGAGCAACGCCGCGUGAGUGAUGAAGGCUUUCGGGUCGUAAAACUCUGUUGUUAGGGAAGAACAAGUGCUAGUUGAAUAAGCUGGCACCUUGACGGUACCUAACCAGAAAGCCACGGCUAACUACGUGCCAGCAGCCGCGGUAAUACGUAGGUGGCAAGCGUUAUCCGGAAUUAUUGGGCGUAAAGCGCGCGCAGGUGGUUUCUUAAGUCUGAUGUGAAAGCCCACGGCUCAACCGUGGAGGGUCAUUGGAAACUGGGAGACUUGAGUGCAGAAGAGGAAAGUGGAAUUCCAUGUGUAGCGGUGAAAUGCGUAGAGAUAUGGAGGAACACCAGUGGCGAAGGCGACUUUCUGGUCUGUAACUGACAC
rnacentral:rRNA from 1 species